GGCCCAUCAAGUCUACUCUGCCAUUCAACCAUGGCUAGUCUAUUUUUCCUUCUCAACCCCAUUCUCAUGCCUUCUCCACACAACCUCUGAUACCCAAUCUAAUCAAAAAAUACCUCUUUUUCUGCCUUAAAAAA